UAAAUAUAACAAAGAAUUUAGUAAAAUAACUUAGUUAUCAUUCAGCUAGUGUUAGGAACAUAAAUUGCGACUAAGGUUUGGUGGAAGAUUUUAAUGCAAAACUUAUGAAAACAAGAGAUUUGUACUCAAGAGCUAGAGCCAGUUUUAGCCAGGUUGGUAGCGAAAGGGUUAAAAGAUUUUUUU
rnacentral:lncRNA from 1 species